CACUUCAUCUUCUCUACUCUACGAAACUCAGCCCCUGCAUAUGGUUUUCUAGUUUGCACGUUGGUUGCUAGUUCAUCAGGAUAUGAAUAUGGAAAAUAAUUGCAUGGAAGAUGGAGAAGGUGAAACAAGCACUGGCUUGAACAUUUCAGAAGGUGAAAGCAACAAAAAGUCAUCCCAAGCUAUGAAAGGCACAAUCACCAUUGGAAGGAGAAUUUGGGUUGUUUAGCUCUCAAUUCACAGGUACCGGGGCCAAAAGUUCUAG